rnacentral:rRNA from 1 species
ACGAACGCUGGCGGCGUGCUUAACACAUGCAAGUCGAACGGAAAGGCCUGCUUUCCCUUGUGGAUUGCGGGUACUCGAGUGGCGAACGGGUGAGUAACACGUGAGUGAUCUGCCCCCAACUUGGGUAUAAGCCUGGGAAACUGGGUCUAAUUCCCGAUAGGACUGCAGGGUGGUGCCUGUGGUGGAAAACGAUUUUCUAGUGGUUGGGGAUGAGCUCGCGGCCUAUCAGCUUGUUGGUGGGGUAAUGGCCUACCAAGGCGGCGACGGGUAGCCGGCCUGAGAGGGUGGACGGCCACAUUGGGACUGAGAUACGGCCCAGACUCCUACGGGAGGCAGCAGUGGGGAAUAUUGCACAAUGGGCGGAAGCCUGAUGCAGCGACGCCGCGUGGCGGAUGACGGCCUUCGGGUUGUAAACUCCUUUCGACCGCGAGGAAGCCACCUGGUUGGAAGGGUGGUGACGGUAGUGGUAGAAGAAGCACCGGCUAACUACGUG